rnacentral:rRNA from 1 species
UACGUAGGGGUCGAGCGUUGUCCGGAGUUACUGGGCGUAAAGCGCGCGCAGGCGGCGCGAUAAGACCGGCGUGAAAGCCCCCGGCUCAACCGGGGAGGGUCGUUGGUGACUGUCGCGCUUGAAGGCAGCAGGGGUGAGUGGAAUUCCCGGUGUAGUGGUGAAAUGCGUAGGGAUCGGGAGGAACACCCGUGGCGAAGGGCGGCUCA